rnacentral:misc_RNA from 1 species
AAGUCGUAACAAGGUUUCCGUAGGUGAACCUGCGGAAGGAUCAUUACAGUGCCGUCCGUCGAGUCCUUUGGGCUUGUGCGUUCGACCCUUGAUUACCAUUACCUGUUGCUUUGGCAGAACUGUGGCCUAGGCUACUGCCAGUGUGAUUUCACUCUGGAUCGUUUCUGCCAAACAAACCUGAACUCUCAUUGAUAGUGAAGUCUGAGAAUAUAUCAAAUAGCACUAAAACUUUCAACAACGGAUCUCUUGGUUCC